rnacentral:misc_RNA from 1 species
GGAAUGAAUCGUCUUGGGAUGAGAUGUUUUGGGAUAAGAUGUCUUAGGAGAAGUUGCCUAAUGGAUUUAUUGUCUUGAGAUGAGUUAUUUUGGGAUGCGUUGUCAACCAGCCGAUUCCAGAGUCCGAUCAGGGAGUCCGAUGAUUAAUUUCGUUUCAUGUUAAGUUGAGAAUAUAGACACAUCCGGGUGGAGAAGCUUACACAAAAGCAUUUAACCGAUUAAUAUAAAAGGAGGCCAGUGUGAGAUUGAUACUAAACUCAUGUAGCCUUUGGGACGACUCUUAUAUGGAUAUUGAAAUUUCAUAUCAUUAGCAGUUAUUUCCAUAGAUUGCAUUCUAUGAUUUUUAACAUAACUAAGGGGUAUACACGUACCCCACCAAACACCUUUUAAAUGAGGGCUGAUUGGACAUCUCAGGUGUUGAACCAAGAUAGACUCGUCCUGCUGUUUGCAAACUAUAGCUUCCUAUCAUGUAUCGUUAUGAUGUUCAUAGUCUUCCUUUUCUUCUUGGCUCAGACCAGCACUGAUGAAAUAGACCUCUUCAGUUUGAACGUGCUUCUGGUCUAUACUUUUAUGUUUACAAACAUUGCUCUCGCAAACUACUUUGUUUAUACCAUACAAAUCCAUAAAGAGAUUCGAGUGAUUUUACAAUAGGUCCAGAGAGUUGACCUCUAAAACGUGACAAUGGACAAUCCAUAUAAUGAUCCUGGACCUGGUGGUGUAAAGGAGGAAGUUUUCUUUGAUCUGCUUAGCCCUAGUAGUAGCUUUGGUUGCUCCAGUCUCAAAGACCCAAAUGGUUUAUCAGAUAACUGUAUCAUCAGUGCCAUUAUUCUUUCGCAUUGGGAUAACAUAAUGGGGCCGAGGAUUAUACAUCUCUGGAGUAACACAUACAAUCAAGAAGCCACCCCUGCUCAGUUAAAGACCCUGCGCUUUGUGGCAAAUCAUACGCUUAGUGGAGAAAUCACCAGAGAUCUUAGCGAUCGAACAAUUGAUGAUAAAUUCUAUGUUAUUCAAGAAAAGUCAAUAUCAGUGACAUCAUUUAUAUUUGGUGCUAAGUCAACUGUAGGAAAGUGUGUGCAUUCACUAUCAUUAGUGGUGCCUCUAGAACAUUUAGAAACCUAUCUUAAAUGGCAUGACCUCUGUGUAAUUUGGAUGAAAAGGCUGAUUAGUAGGCUGAAAGUUCUACAAUCUAUAGACCCUGGUAAUGGUGCUAUAGGAGAGUUUUCAAUGCCAAAGAACAUCCAAAGCUUUAUACAAAUGCUAAGAUCACUCAGUAUGCUAGCUCUGCCAUCAACAAUAAAUAUCUCUACCACCCUGCUCCGCUCAGACCAUCCCAUUGAGAAUGCCUUCCUGCGUAAAGCCAUUGCAGCUCAUCUAGUAACAUGUGGUCACAGUAUAGUAGUCGGCAAAAUAAAGAGCCAGUUAAACACACUAGUUAGAACUCUGGCUCUUUUCCUUGGUGCUACGGAACGUCAUUGCUCAAGACUUGCCACAUCAGACAACCCUAGAUUCCCUUACCAUUCGGACCUUAGCAUACAGGCCAUUAUCAAGGAUGAUAAUGACACAACCAAUAUCCCCUCUAUUGAUGUGUUAUGCAGUAAAUUCCCAUCAGCUUUGAUUGACAUGUCAACCAAAGAAAUUCAUGUGACACAGCCCUGUCACAUCCACAGUGUGCGACGUUAUGAAAUGAUGAAGCAAGAUUUGACUUGUCUUUGGGCUGAGCAUAGAGAGGAUAAGGUCUAUCCAACGAGUGAAAUAUUCAAGCCGUAUAAUGAGGGUGAAACCUUAGUUGGAAAACUUCUCUGUGAACUUGCAGAAUUGAAGGCAAGCUGUGGAAUACGGGAGACCUAUAUUGAGCAGUUCAUCAUGUCUUUAGAACGCAGAGCCCUUUCUCUCAUAAAGCUUGUAGAACUAGACACGAACAGGGGAAAAACAAAGUGCAAUGUUAAUAAAAUUAAGAAAGAUAUGACUUUAACUCAAGAGGGAGAUUUCCACAUAGUAUUAUCAACAGCAGAAAAGUUGCAGCCAGGGAUGUAUGCUGCUGUUUAUGGGGAUCCCAAACAGAUCACUGAGAACUUUACAUAGCUGGACUAUCCUCAUUUACAAUAUAGAGAAACACCAGGAGACAGAAAUGUAGCAUAUAUCCAGAAUUUGUUGUGUAAUUUGAAACCUUCAAAUUAGAAGUGGAAUCAUGUUGUCCAUACAUAUCUGUCAUCAUUCAGUUUUGGUAAAUCUUAUCAAUAUUAUGGCUGUGCCAUUAUUUAGUAGAUAGAAUAGCACUAUGUUGAAUAUACUUGCAAGGUGACUCACAGGGCUUAUUGAUGCAUGGGUAGGCCUAUAAAAAAUACUGUUGAACGACUUGUUCAUAAAACUCAAAGUAGCACUCACUGUGAGAAUUUCUGUUGCAGAAAAGUAAAUACUUUCCAAAAUCAGCACCACAAGUUAACAGUUAAGCAAGUGUAGUAACCCAGAACUGUGAUAUUGUAAUCUUAACAAUGUUAAUGUCACAAAAGACAUUGUAAAGUACUAAACUUAUAAAGACAUAUACUUAUAUGAGAAAUGCAGUAAUGUUGUCAGUCCUGUACAAAUACCAGUUGUAUAUCUAGGGCCUUGUUACAUAAUGCAGAGAAUUCCUAGUCAUGUACAAUUGGAAAUUCGAAAUACUUAAAUUAAUUCUUUUUCUCAGGCUUUGUAUCCUUGUAAAUGUAUACUAGUAUGUACUAUGUAGUUUAAGUCGCAUCUAAGUAGUAGUAAUGGCUGUAGAAUGAAUCAGUUGCUUCUGACUUUAAUAUUGUCCUUAGAAAGAAAUCUAAAGGAAAGUUUGUAUUUUGUGAUGUGCUGUGUACCUGUGUGUUGAUUUUUAUGUCACCACCACAAUUUGCAAAAACUUACAAGGUGGUGACAUUUUUUCAUGGUAAUGGCUUAAUGCCUUUUAAUGGCUUGCAUCAAGACCCUGUAUCAACCCCACACCCAUUCUCUCUAUCCCAGUGGGAAUAGGGGGGGGGGGGAUUGACAGAUUCUUAAUGAAAGACUAUUGAUUUUACAUCAUAUAAUUAUUAAAUUGUAUCGUAUAUAUGAUGGGUAUCGACCAGACCAUAUUUAUAAGCAAGCCAAGUGGUAUGUUAAGCUUAACAUGGAUCCACAAAUGCUUGCUAUAUCGUCAGCUCAGAACACACUUGGUGUAUCUGAAAAAAGUUUUGAGUUAAGCACAGAUUCUGAAUGAGGAGACGAUAUAGUGAGGUCUGGUUAUACUAUAGUGCCCAGGCAUGUGAUGUCAAUGUAAAUUAAAAUAAAUUAUGUUCAAUAACUUACUGGUAUGUGAAAGUGAAUGAUAUUAAAGUAAUAUAAUUGUGAUAGUGAUAAUAAUAAAAAGUAAUAUUUUAAAAA